rnacentral:rRNA from 1 species
CCUACGGGAGGCAGCAGUGGGGGAUAUUGCACAAUGGGGGGAACCCUGAUGCAGCGACGCCGCGUGGGUGAAGAAGCGCCUCGGCGCGUAAAGCCCUGUCAGCAGGGAAGAAAAUGACGGUACCUGAAGAAGAAGCCCCGGCUAACUACGUGCCAGCAGCCGCGGUAAUACGUAGGGGGCAAGCGUUAUCCGGAUUUACUGGGUGUAAAGGGGGCGUAGGCGGUCCUGCAAGUCUGGAGUGAAACGCAUGAGCUCAACUCAUGCAUGGCUUUGGAAACUGGAGG